rnacentral:rRNA from 1 species
AGUAGGGAAUAUUGCACAAUGGGCGAAAGCCUGAUGCAGCAACGCCGCGUGCGCGAUGAAGGCCUUCGGGUUGUAAAGCGCUUUUCGGGGAGACGAGGAAGGACGGUAUCCCCGGAAUAAGGAUCGGCUAACUACGUGCCAGCAGCCGCGGUAAAACGUAGGAUCCGAGCGUUAUCCGAAUUCACUGGGCGUAAAGCGCGAGCAGGCGGUACGAUAAGUUGGGUGUAAAAUCUCCUGGCUCAACUGGGAGAGGACGUUCAAUACUGUCGAACUAGAGGGCGGUAGAGGGAGGUGGAAUUCCCGGUGUAGUGGUGAAAUGCGUAGAUAUCGGGAGGAACACCAGUGGCGAAAGCGGCCUCCUGGACCGUGCCUGACGCUGAGAUGCGAAAGCUAGGGGAGCGAACGGGAUUAGAAACCCCGGUAGUCCUAGCCGUAAACGAUGUUGACUUGGUGUUGGUGGUGUAAAAGCCAUCGGUGCCGAAGCAAACGCGAU